UCUAUUAUAUUUACUUAUACCUAUUUGAUAAAAUUUUAUUAUUUUUGCCAUUUCACAGAGAACAUUGUGUUGAACAGUACUGCCUACUCGCUUUUUUUCAUUGAUCCAGAUAUACCAGAACUUAAUUCAUACAAAUCAAUGUUUUCAAACUCAAAAGACCCUGUAAAAACCCUGCCCCCUCUUCAAGUCAACUCAAUGAAGCUGAGGUUCUACGGACAACAAGGAGAGUUACAAUCGAUGAACUAGCUUUUCUUGAUCUUGAUCUGCAUAAGGGUGAUACAUUUGUGUGCAAAGCUUCUGUUAAACGUUUUGACACAGGUUACAAUUGGUGGUACAAUGCUUGCCCCAAUUGUGUAAAGCAAAUGCACAAGGAUCCAACAACUGGCCAACUCACUUGCCAAAAGCACCCAAACCAGAUUCCAACACCUUGGUAAGAUUUAAUACAUAAAUCUCUGUUUUUUUUUUUUAAGGUCUUUCAUUAGAUUUGGUUCUACAUGCCUUUAAUACAAUCAUCAUUACUUCUCAUUUGUAAUCUGUUUUGGUACAACAUUUUAAUUAUGUGUGUUAAUAAUGAAUUAUACCACCAAUAAAAGUUAAGUAUGAAUUAUACCACCAAUAAAAGUUAAGUACCUUGACUUUUAAUAACAGGUAUAAAGUCAGUUUGAUUCUUAAAGAUGCUACUAAUGAAAUCAGUGCUUUAAUAAUUGGGAAAUCUGGUGAAAAGCUCUUUGGUAUGGCAUGCAAAGAUUUGGUUAUGAAUAAAAUGUUAGUUGACCAACAACAACUGCCAAACGAAUUCUUAAGAUUGAUUGGUCAAAAGAAAAUCUUCCACUUGCGGUUUGGAAAUAGGAGAAAUAACUUCAACUCAAUCGAUGUGCUCAUUCACAAUGUAUCCGAAGAUACAAGCAUCGAACCAAUCACUCUGCAAACGUUAUCAAAGGAGUUGACAGUGUGUUCCACCAUUGUAUCCUCUUCGACCUCAACACCUGAACCAAGUGAUCAAUCUUAUAAACGAAAAAGAGAAUAUGUGAGAAGAGCGCUUUUCAUUCCUGGUGAACAAAGAAAUUUCAGAAGUUGAUCCAAGAGAAUGUGAUGAGGUUCCCAUCAAGUUAUUAAAAAAAAAAACCAUCUCCUGCUCAAGCAAAGCCACACAACAGCACUGGAAACAAUGAUUAGGCUGCUUUAUCAAUGACAACAAGGGCUGAAGACACCUUUCACUACUCCGAUCAAGAAUGUUUACCCUGUUUUGUUUAUGUAUAUUAAAUCAUGUUUAACAUGUUUAAAAACCUGUACAUAUCUUUUUUUGCCCAAAACUCAACAAUAUUUUUUGCAUCCCCAUACAACAGCAUCUCCUCAUUUUUUGUAUGCAAAAGCUGGAACACAAAGUAUAUUAGAUGGGGUUAUUAUAAGAAAUUCAGUUAUUAUAAUGUUUUUUGUAUCUUUGUACCAGGAAUUUCUAUGUUUUGUAACUGAAUGUAAUCCUCCUUUUCCA